rnacentral:rRNA from 1 species
AGGGGUAGGGUGCUUCGGCACUUGAGACCGGCGCACGGGUGCGUAACACGUGUACAAUCUACCUUUUGCUAAGGGAUAGCCCGAAGAAAUUUGGAUUAAUACCUUAUAGUAUUGUUUGGUGGCAUCANUGAAUAAUUAAAGCUCUGGUGGCAAAAGAUGAGUACGCGUCCCAUUAGCUAGUUGGUGUGGUAACGGCAUACCAAGGCUACGAUGGGUAGGGGUCCUGAGAGGGAGGUCCCCCACACUGGUACUGAGACACGGACCAGACUCCUACGGGAGGCAGCAGUGAGGAAUAUUGGACAAUGGUCGGAAGACUGAUCCAGCCAUGCCGCGUGCAGGAUGACGGCCUUAUGGGUUGUAAACUGCUUUUGUAUGGGAAGAAUAAGGUCUACGUGUAGAUUGAUGACGGUACC